CUUAUCAAGAGUGGCAGAGGGACAGGCCCUGUGAAGCCCGGCAACCGUGUAAAUGCGGUGCUAAUUCCUACAAGAAGAUUUCUUGAAAGAUGAGG
rnacentral:ncRNA from 1 species